AGUGGCGCACGGGUGCGUAACGCGUAUGCAUCUACCUUUUACUAGAGUAUAGCCCAGAGAAAUUUGGAUUAAUCCUCUAUAAUGUUUCAUGACUAAAGUUUUAACGGUAAAAGAUGAGCAUGCGUCCUAUUAGUUUGUAGGUGAGGUAACGGCUCACCUAGACUACGAUAGGUAGGGGCCCUGAGAGGGGGAUCCCCCACACUGGUACUGAGACACGGACCAGACUCCUACGGGAGGCAGCAGUAAGGAAUAUUGGACAAUGGACGAAAGUCUGAUCCAGCCAUGCCGCGUGCAGGAUGAAAGCCUAUGGGUUGUAAACUGCUUUUAUACAGGAAGAAACACUCGUACGUGUACGAGCUUGACGGUACUGUAAGAAUAAGGACCGGCUAACUCCGUGCCAGCAGCCGCGGUAAUACGGAGGGUCCGAGCGUUAUCCGGAAUCAUUGGGUUUAAAGGGUCCGCAGGCGGUCUUUUAAGUCAGAGGUGAAAGCCUACAGCUCAACUGUAGAACGGCCUUUGAUACUGAAAGACUUGAGUUAUUAUGAAGUGGUUAGAAUGUGUGGUGUAGCGGUGAAAUGCAUAGAUAUCACACAGAAUACCGAUUGCGAAGGCAGAUCACUAAUAAUAUACUGACGCUCAUGGACGAAAGCGUGGGGAGCGAACAGGAUUAGAUACCCUGGUAGUCCACGCCG
rnacentral:rRNA from 1 species